rnacentral:rRNA from 1 species
AACGAACGCUGGCGGCAGGCCUAACACAUGCAAGUCGAGCGCCCCGCAAGGGGAGCGGCGGACGGGUGAGUAGCGCGUGGGAAUAUGCCCUUUGCUACGGAAUAGUCUCGGGGAACUGGGGGUAAUACCGUAUACGCCCUUUGGGGGAAAGGUUUAUCGGCGAAGGAUUAGCCCGCGUUGGAUUAGGUAGUUGGUGGGGUAAUGGCCUACCAAGCCGACGAUCCAUAGCUGGUUUGAGAGGAUGAUCAGCCACACUGGGACUGAGACACGGCCCAGACUCCUACGGGAGGCAGCAGUGGGGAAUCUUAGACAAUGGGGGCAACCCUGAUCUAGCCAUGCCGCGUGAGUGAUGAAGGCCUUAGGGUUGUAAAGCUCUUUCAGCUGGGAAGAUAAUGACGGUACCAGCAGAAGAAGCCCCGGCUAACUCCGUG